CCUACGGGAGGCAGCAGUGAGGAAUAUUGGUCAAUGGCCGUAAGGCUGAACCAGCCAAGUCGCGUGAAGGAAGAAGGAUCUAUGGUUUGUAAACUUCUUUUAUAGGGGAAUAAAGGUAUCCACGUGUGGAGAUUUGCAUGUACCCUAUGAAUAAGCAUCGGCUAACUCCGUGCCAGCAGCCGCGGUAAUACGGAGGAUGCGAGCGUUAUCCGGAUUUAUUGGGUUUAAAGGGUGCGUAGGUUGUUUUUUAAGUCAGCGGUGAAAGUUUGUGGCUCAACCAUAAAAUUGCCGUUGAAACUGGGAGACUUGAGUGUGUUUGAGGUAGGCGGAAUGCGUGGUGUAGCGGUGAAAUGCAUAGAUAUCACGCAGAACUCCGAUUGCGAAGGCAGCUUACUAAGCCAUAACUGACGCUGAAGCACGAAAGCGUGGGGAUCAAACAGGAUUAGAUACCCUUGUAGUC
rnacentral:rRNA from 1 species